UUCCGCAAUUGUCCCGCUUCACGUCCAGGACAGAGUUAACAUAAUUAAUUUUUGCAUUUAUAAUUUAAUUUAUGAAAUAAUUAAUAUUCUUUAAAUGUGGAGCACGUUUUCACCUGGUUAUCGUCGAAGAUUAAAUUUAAAUUGAUUGCUGAGGAUACUAAAUUUAGAAGAGUGCAAUUCUCAAACCGUAUUAAAGAUGCUUUGUCAAGAAUAAAGUAGUAAGGGAAAGAGUGUUUCCAGUUUGCUUUCCUUCAAAAAGUUCUCAUACUGGUCAUUUUACUAGAGAUUUUGUUAUUUUCACUGGAUUUUAUUGCUAUGUGUUAUUGCUGUAAUGUUACUGUUGUGAUGUUUUGUGUUGAUAUACAGCUUGGCUUACCUUCCCGUUGGCGUCUAUUGUUAAAAAUGAAUCAUAGGUAGUUUCAUUAUUGGAAUUUACUGCUUUUAUUUAUUUACUAAAAACAAAGACAACAUUUUGCUAAAAGUGCAAUUUAAAUCUUAGUUUGAUUUUUUUUUUGUUAAUCCUUUUGUACUUCAAAACAGAUUUUAUAGUUACAUUUUUGAUAAAAGUUUAUAUUAACU